rnacentral:rRNA from 1 species
CCUACGGGAGGCAGCAGUGAGGGAUAUUGGUCAAUGGGGGAAACCCUGAACCAGCAACGCCGCGUGAGGGAAGACGGUUUUCGGAGUGUAAACCUCUGUCCGCGGGGAAGAGAAUGACGGUAGCAGAGGAGGAAGCUCCGGCUAACUACGUGCCAGCAGCCGCGGUAAUACGUAGGGAGCAAGCGUUGUCCGGAUUUACUGGGUGUAAAGGGUGCGUAGGCGGCCCUGCAAGUCAGAAGUGAAAUCCAUGGGCUUAACCCGUGAACGGCUUUUGAAACUGUAGGGCUUGAGUGAAGGAGAGGCAGGCGGAAUUCCCGGUGUAGCGGUGACAUGCGUCGAGUUCGGGAGGAACCCCAGUGGCGACGGCGGCCUGCUGGGCUUUACCUGCCGCUGACGCACGCCAGCGUGGGUAGCACACCGGAUUAGAUACCCUGGUAGUC